CAAACUUCUAUCUCCAGGCUUCGUUUUAAGAUUUCUGCAUAGAAAUUUCGCAUAGCUUGGGUCUGAUUUCCUUAUAUUUUAUUCGGAUCUGAUUGGAACUGUCCUUUUCUUAUUUUUUUAUUUGCCUUUACCAUUUAACAUAACUUUGUCAAGUAAACUGGAGCAUCGGUCCGGGGGUGUCUGUCAUCCGGUCUGAUUUUCUGAUUUUUGUUUUAUUUUCAAUAUAUUCAUAAAAAUACCCUGGACUUUGUGUAAAUAUUUCGCAUAGUAAUGGGUCUGAUUUCCUUAUAUUUUAUUCGAGUAUCGCCAAUAUUCAUCUUUCUUUACCGCAUCACU